AAACUGGAAAUAACUACCCCAUAGUAUUGAGAUAUCGCAUGAUUAUUUCUAAAUUAAAGUCUUUGGCGGUUGAAGAUUGUCGUGCGUCUGAUUAGCUAGUUGGUGAGGUAACGGCUCACAAGGCGACGAUCAGUAGCUGGUCUGAGAGGAUGAUCAGCCACACUGGAACUGAGACACGGUCCAGACUCCUACGGGAGGCAGCAGUAGGGAAUAUUGGACAAUGGGCGGAAGCCUGAUCCAGCCAUCCCGCGUGUAGGAAUAAGGCCCUAUGGGUUGUAAACUACUUUUAUUAGGGAAGAAAAACUUUGAUUUAUCAGAGCUUGACGGUACCUAAGGAAUAAGCACCGGCUAACUCCGUG
rnacentral:rRNA from 1 species